UACGUAGGUGGCAAGCGUUGUCCGGAUUUACUGGGCGUAAAGGAUGCGUAGGCGGAUAUUUAAGUCAGAUGUGAAAUACCCGGGCUCAACUUGGGUGCUGCAUUUGAAACUGGAUAUCUAGAGUGCGGGAGAGGUAAGUGGAAUUCCUAGUGUAGCGGUGAAAUGCGUAGAGAUUAGGAAGAACACCAGUGGCGAAGGCGACUUACUGGACCGUAACUGACGCUGAGGCAUGAAAGCGUGGGGAGCAAACAGG
rnacentral:rRNA from 3 species